rnacentral:tRNA from 1 species
GGCGACGUGGCCAAGUGGAAAGGCAUGGGUCUGCAAAACCCUGAUCACGGGUUCGAAUCCCGUCGUCGCCU